rnacentral:rRNA from 1 species
CCCUUAGAUGUUCUGGGCCGCACGCGUGCUACACUGAGUAAUUCAAUGGGUAAGGGAACGCUAGAGCAUUACCUAAUCUUGAAAUUUGCUCGUGAUGGGGAUCGACGGUUGCAAUUUUCCGUCGUGAACGAGGAAUACCUUGUAGGCGCAUGUCAUCAUCAUGCGCCGAAUACGUCCCUGCCCUUUGUACACACCGCCCGUCGCUCCUACCGAUUGAGUGAUCCGGUGAGGCUCUGGGACCUGGACGGAAAGAGCGUUUCGCUUGUUCUGUUUGGGAAACUUGGUCGAACCUUGUCAUUUAGAGGAAGGAGAAGUCGUAACA